rnacentral:rRNA from 1 species
AUCUGCAGCCAUCCUACCCUGAACAAGCCCAAUCCCGUCUGAUCUCGGAAACUAAGCAGGGUCGGGCCUGGUUAGUACUUGGAUGGGAGACCACCUAGGAAGACCAGGUGCUGUAGGCA